rnacentral:lncRNA from 1 species
ACCCUUUGUCCCUUGCGGAGUCAGAUUUUCCUGAGCUGAAGUGUACCUUUUUUUUAGGUCUUCCUCAGAUGAUUUCGGAUGUUUGAUAUCUCUCACCCUUAUACUGGUCUUAGAUAUUCAGUCUUCCCGAGCUUUUUGUUCUCUCACCUUUAUACCGGUGUUCAGAUCGCAUGAGCUUAUUACCCAGUAACCGGUAAUACCCCAUCCCGUUGCUUCCUCAGGGGAGUUUCGAUUGGAUUUUCCCCGGCAAAAUCCCUUAGCGGAUUUU